rnacentral:lncRNA from 1 species
GUUUAAACAGAUGGACGCACACACGUCUGCCGUCAUACUCAUCAAUCCUAAAAGUUAUGGGCAUGUACACGACGUCUGUGUCAAGAAAAUAUGUGUUUGCUGUACGGUGUUUGCAGAUGCAUUGAUUUAAAAGUACAACUUAUUACCGCUGUAUCAGCUGUUCUUUCCCAAAUAAUUUACCAAGAAUGUGUGGCUGGGUAGAUGAGAGUGGCAAAGUGUAUGAUGCGCGAGGUGCACAAGCAAUCCGUAUGCAUCGCAUGCGCAUGUAUGCAUGCGCCCUUAAAAUAGCAUCUGAACAACGCGCCACUGACUUUAAACCAGGUAUUUCCUGGUCAGUAGCGCAAUGGUAUUCAGAGACGGCAAAAUACCGUUUGCGCCAGAACACGCCUCCUCCUUCCGCCGAACCGCCCCUUGGGGCGCAUGAUCAAUCCCUAAUUUACCGGCGAGUGGCGGUGGUGGGAAAAGAACGCUCUGCGCCAGUUGUAAACUAGCAACGACACAUGCGCCAGUGACUAAGUCACUCGCGCCGGAUGCAAGAUAGGGCCCUCUAUAUUUAUUAUUGAGAUGCUAUCAGACAAGGUGGGGGUCGUGGGGCAGGUGGGGGUGGGAUGUGGGGGGGGGGGGGGGGGGGGUCUGCGAACUUGAGCAGACGGAUGGAGCAGAUCAUGAGAUGGAGUGGCCUCAUGCAAUCAACCCUGAACCAAACUAUGAGCUCACUGCCGUGUGUGUGUGUGUGUGUGUGUGUGUGUGUAGUAGUUAUUCGAUAGCCUGGUAAUGUGUAUAGGCCUUCGUACGGUAGGAAUAUUCAUACUGGUUUAAAUAAUACAUUUCUUAGUAUUUCCCAUCUUUGCUGAACAUGAGUUUGUUCGAAAGUUCUGAGAUUGAAACAAAUAAGAGCCUGGGCUAUUGAAGUUUUACAUUAGGCCUACCACUGUCAUGCACCUACCCGAUGUCAAGUGGACCGGGUUGAAUUCACUGCGGAUCUCUCUUCUUAUAUCCAUCUUACCAAAUAUAUUUUAUUACGGUCCUUCUCAACACUCUCUGAUCUCAAGGCUAGCAGCACGAAAUCAAGGGACAUUUAGAAUAGAAAAAAU